rnacentral:sRNA from 1 species
GCUGGGCGUAGUGGCGCACACCUGUAAUCCCAGUAGCUUGGUAGGCUGAGACAGGAGGAUCUUGAGUUCAAAGCCAGCCUCAGCAAUUCAGUGAGACCCUGUCUCUA